rnacentral:rRNA from 1 species
GAUUAACGCUGGCGGCGUGCAUAACACAUGCAAGUCGAACGAUGAAACUUUAAUGAACCCUUCGGGGAGAAUUAAAGCGGAUUAGUGGCGAACGGGUGAGUAACGCGUGAGUAACCUGCCUUACACAAGGGGAUAGCCUUUGGAAACGAAGAAUAAUACCCUAUAAAACCAUAAAAGCACAUGCAAUUAUGGUCAAAGUGAUAGCGGUGUAAGAUGGACUUGCGUCUGAUUAGCUAGUUGGUGAGAUAAAAGCCCACCAAGGCAACGAUCAGUAGCCGGCUUGAGAGAGUGUACGGCCACAUUGGGACUGAGACACGGCCCAGACUCCUACGGGAGGCAGCAGUGGGGAAUUUUGCACAAUGGGGGAAACCCUGAUGCAGCGACGCCGCGUGAUUUAGAAGGCCUUCGGGUUGUAAAAAUCUUUUGUAUAGGAAGAAAAUGACAGUACUAUACGAAUAAGGACCGGCUAAUUACGUG